rnacentral:lncRNA from 1 species
UCAUGUUCACUCUGCAGGAUGUCGAGCAAGCGUUCGUACGCAAGUGCCAGACGCCGCAGUGCCUCACCGAGCUGCUCACGCACCUCCUACAGAAGGGGAGUCUGAGCACCGCCUCCUCGCUGGCUUGGAGGGAAGCAGAGGGCGGCGAGGAAGAGUCGUGGGGAAGAUGGGGCGUGAAGCUGCUUAUGU